UGUAAGCGUAUACCAAAGUUGUUGCAGUUAAAACGCUCGUAGUCGGAAUUUGGCAGUUCCGGAUGUGUGCACGUCGUGUGCGCACUUCGCGGGGAUUGCUUUUGUGGUCUUGCGUAGGAUGAGGCACUUUUAUUAGUGAACGUCCUCACGCAACCACUUUUUACUGUGAGAAAAUCAGAGUGCUCAAAGCAGGCAUUUGCCAUGAAUGUAUUAGCAUGGAAUAAUAGAAUAGGACUUGGUUCUAUUUUGUUGGUUUGUUGGGACUGAGUAAUGAUUAAGAGGGACAGUUGGGGGCAUUUGUAUUUCGGUGCUAGAGGUGAAAUUCUUAGAUUACCGAAAGACAAACUGCUGCGAAAGCGUCUGCCAAGGAUGUUUUCAUUGA
rnacentral:rRNA from 1 species